AGUUGCGUGGUCAACACAAAGCGAGCUAUCUUUUUUGCUACUAAAGAAUACCGUGUGCACGCCACACUAAGCAGCAUACGCUAAUUUUUGAAGGGUGCCUUCUCCCUGUGAGAAGGC
rfam:Hordeum vulgare subsp. vulgare, WGS project CAJW01000000 data, contig: morex_contig_2548618